rnacentral:rRNA from 1 species
AACGAACGCUGGCGGCAGGCUUAACACAUGCAAGUCGAACGCCCCGCAAGGGGAGUGGCAGACGGGUGAGUAACGCGUGGGAACGUGCCCUUCGCUUCGGAAUAGCCCCGGGAAACUGGGAGUAAUACCGGAUACGCCGUAUUGGGAAAGAUUUAUCGGCGAAGGAUCGGCCCGCGUUAGAUUAGGUAGUUGGCGGUGUAAUGGACCACCAAACCUACGAUUUGUAGCUGGUCUGAGAGGAUGAUCAGCCACACUGGGACUGAGACACGGCCCAGACUCCUACGGGAGGCAGCAGUGGGGAAUCUUGGACAAUGGGCGCAAGCCUGAUCCAGCCAUGCCGCGUGAGUGAAGAAGGCCUUAGGGUUGUAAAACUCUUUCGCCGGAGAAGAUAAUGACGGUAUCCGGAGAAGAAGCCCCGGCUAACUUCGUGCCAGCCGCCGCCGUAAUAC